CCGCCCUCGGGAUUGGGCGAGAUCGGGGCCGUGGGGCUCCGCGGGGAGCUGGGAGCGCGGCGGCGCUGAGCCGGGGCCGCGUCACGGGGACCGCGCGGGUGCGCGUCCGGCCCGGCCGCGGGGAUCCUGGUCGAGGGAACGGCAAGUUUCCCGUCUCUGUCCUGCCCCAGCUCGGGUACUCCUGGUGCCUUCCCUCCUCGGGUCUCUUUGCCACCUCCUGCUCUCUCUCUGGGAAACCCCUGCCCUCACUCUCCUCAGAUUGCUGCUCUCUCUUCUCUGGUUUUCCUAAGAUAUAACUGUGUCAAUGGAGCAGCAGCAUUAGAAGAUGAAGCAUUGCCAAGAAUAAGAAAAUCAAAACACGUAUGAGAUACAAGCUAGUAUCAGAAGACAACGUUUGACAGAAGACUGUGGCUUAGAAAACUGACACUGCAGAGCUAUGAUUUAGGUGUCCUAUUAUUUCAAUGAACACGCUCAGGUUAUAUUUUUUAAAUAACCUGCAUUUAUGACAAAAUCGUCCUUGAUCCACCUUAUCGCAAUUUAGAGAGAGGGCAAAUUCUGACGGGACAUCACUGAUCUUCUUUCAGUAUAAAGAACUUUCUCCCUGUGCAAACGGAUUGUAGGAAUAUUGCAUGGAUUCAUGUAAGCCUAGAACAAUUAAAUGCGCUGAAGAAAUGGGACGUUUCUCUGGCACUAAUUGCCCAAACAGAAACUGGAAAAUUCAGGAUACAAAUCAGUUACGUAGAAAAAUGCUCAUACGGAAGAGAAGACAUUUUCAGAGAAGAAUAACAGAUGAUGGAAAAUGAUGUCUGACUGUGUUAUUGUCACAAGAAAAAUGAAUGCCAGUGUCCAAAAAGUGAGCUAUGGGUCAUGUUUCCCUUAGUCUGUUCUUCUGUUGGCCUUUUUUGACUGAGAAAAUUUCGGGAUCAGGUUGGAUUUAAUUAGUAUGGUAAAUAAAUCCAUCUUAAAGGCAAGUAUGUCUUGUGUACACCUUUAGCGAAUUUUUAAAGACAUUUAGGCUUCAGACUGCUUUGAAAGGAAUACGCACCAGCAGGUGGAGCAAAUAGAUAGAGAUGUUAGAUGUUGUGGUUCUGCAGCUGCUUACAACGCUAUGAUCAGUUUUUAAGACAAGUACAGAAAUUGGGAGGGGUCUUAGGCGAUACCCUACAAAAAUUAACAUCAACGAAAAAUGAAAGCUCUUUAUACCAUACCCUUCAUUAUAUAAAGCCAGAGCUAACUGACGUAAUCUGUGUAUAACUGCUGUAACAGAAACCAAAGGUUACAAGGGAAAUAAAGAUAUACAAUAUUUAGACUCUGACACGGGAAAUUCUGUAUCAGUCUUGAGUCCAAGGUGUCAUAGAUGCAAUGUAAGUAUAAUUUGAGACCUUACGGUUUAAACUGAAGAAAUACUAAUAAUGUGCGGUUUGCCCAAAUAAAA